rnacentral:misc_RNA from 1 species
UCUCCGUAGGUGAACCUGCGGAGGGAUCAUUACCGGGCUCUUGCCCUUACGGGUAGAUCUCCCACCCUGUGUUAUUAUUACCUUUGUUGCUUUGGCGGGCCGCCAGGCUCCGGUCAGGCUAUCGGCUUCGGCUGGUAAGCGCCCGCCAGAGGACCCUAUAUCCUGAUUAUUAGUGUCGUCUGAGUACUAUAUAAUAGUUAAAACUUUCAACAACGGAUCUCUUGGGUCUG